CAAACUGGAGUUAUGGAAAUCAACUUUGGAAUCAAAAGGCUUUAAGAUAAGUAGAACAAAGAUGGAGUAUAUGGAAUUUAAUUUUCUG